UAAAAACCCUAAUUUCUCAAUCGCCACAUUCUUCUCCUUCACGCCUAUUGUUCAUCCUCCUCCUUCUGCUUCAACUUCCCAUCUGACGUUGAUUCUAUCAAUAAACCCUAAUGAAUAAUAUACCUGAUCAAUCCGUUCUUUAGUUUCUUCAUUCCUUUUUCAAACCCUAAAACUCCAGCCGUACAGAGAUUGAAGAGAUUCAGCUGGUUUGGAAUCCUCCUCUGAUAUAUGUUCUCCCUUUGUCAUGUUACCAACUGACAAAGACGUUGAGUGGAGUAGUCGGUUGUGCUUCGGCUAAGGUCCCGCUGGGAACCUAAUGACGGAGAGGAGGUUGUCGGCUGUACAGCCUGGACUUCUCUUGGUUAAUUUUUUGUCAGGUCCACAACACGUUUCUUGAUCUUGGGGAUUUGAAUAUCCUCCGGCCAUACAUGAGGGAUGCAAUAACAGAUAUAUCUAAGUCAUGUGAAGCUUUUAAAGCAAAAGAAACAGCACCUUCAGUUGCAGUUUUAGCUUUGUGUACACUUCAAUAUGAGAUUUGAAAAACUUACGUACAAAGGCUUACUUCAUGGAUGAGGUCUUCAACUAAAGAGAUAUUGAUGUAUGAGAAGUUGAAAAAACGAGUGCCAAUGUUCUUAGAAAUAUCAUAUAUAAUGGUGGAUGAUCAUGAUGUGUGUUCAACUACCCCUCCAGUUGCCACACGAUGCUAAUUGUCCUUAUAACUCCUCCGCCUAUUGACGAGGAAGGGUGACAACAAUAUGCAACAUCUGUAUACGGAGAAAAAGCAAUGACAGCUCCGGAAAGAACAAAUGAAGUAGCUGGAAAUUAUGCAAACGAGUAUGUUGAGGUAGCUAGGGAACUCGGUGUUUCUUCGGUCAACUUAUGGUCAAAGAUGCAAGAAACAUAGGGGCUGGCAGAAAAAGUUUCUAAGGAGCUUGCUGAUCUACGUUGGAGGGAUCUCUCAUUUGGGUGUUCUGUUUAACCAAACAGCCUUUGGCAUAGCUCUGGUUGCUGAUGGCACCGGGUAUAUGUAUAGGCUUAUGAAGAGAUGGGUGUAUUCCCUGCAUGUUGAAACUGGUUCAUGGCCAAUUUAUAAAGUGAAAAGGAGGAAAGUUGAAUUGCUUGGUUUAUGGGCCAUGUGUAAGGGUGAGCAAACUUUAACUGUUAACCAAUGUUUCAUGCUAGAUGUAACAAGCUAACUGUUAACUAUGUUUUCCCUCUUUCUGCAAUGUAGAUAGGGUCCUAGAUCAUGUUUAGGAAUAUAAAGUUUCAAUAUUUUUUGUUAAUUAAUUGGAAUUGUUGAUAAAGUUAGACAUAUUUAGUGUCAUCUAAUAUGUGGGGUUGCUAAAAACCCUAAAGAUGAGGGCAUUUGAUCCAACUAAUCUGUUAUAUUUAUUACCCCCUUUAUUAGGAUUCAUACAGUUGACCUUAUGUAUCAAAGAAGUUA
rnacentral:lncRNA from 1 species